rnacentral:snoRNA from 1 species
AUUUUAAAUGAUGCCAUUUUUAUCGCCCCAGUCUGAAAUACCUGUUGAACGAUAUUUUCUGAAUUC